CCUACGGGAGGCAGCAGUGAGGAAUAUUGGUCAAUGGACGAGAGUCUGAACCAGCCCAGUAGCGUGAAGGAUGACUGUCCUAUGGGUUGUAAACUUCUUUUAUAUGGGAAUAAAAUGUUCCACGUGUGGGAUUUUGUAUGUACCAUAUGAAUAAGGAUCGGCUAUCUCCGUGCCAGCAGCCGCGGUAAUACGGAGGAUCCGAGCGUUAUCCGGAUUUAUUGGGUUUAAAGGGAGCGUAGGUGGAUUGUUAAGUCAGUUGUGAAAGUUUGCGGCUCAACCGUAAAAUUGCAGUUGAAACUGGCAGUCUUGAGUACAGUAGAGGUGGGCGGAAUUCGUGGUGUAGCGGUGAAAUGCUUAGAUAUCACGAAGAACUCCGAUUGCGAAGGCAGUUCACUGGACUGCAACUGACACUGAGGCUCGAAAGUGUGGGUAUCAAACAGGAUUAGAUACCCGUGUAGUC
rnacentral:rRNA from 1 species